rnacentral:rRNA from 1 species
UACGUAGGGUGCGAGCGUUAAUCGGAAUUACUGGGCGUAAAGCGUGCGCAGGCGGUUUUGUAAGCCAGAUGUGAAAUCCCCGGGCUCAACCUGGGAAUGGCAUUUGGGACUGCAAGGCUGGAGUUUGGCAGAGGAGACUGGAAUUCCCGGUGUAGCAGUGAAAUGCGUAGAUAUCGGGAGGAAUACCGAUGGCGAAGGCAGGUCUCUGGGCUGACACUGACGCUCAUGCACGAAAGCGUGGGGAGCAAACAGG